AAAACAACAGAAGAAGAAAUAAGGACGGUGCGCAUGCGCAGCAAGCAAAGUUUUGAAGCUGCGUCGAAUUUGCUGAAACUGAGAAGUAAAAAGACUGUUUACAUUUCACCUCUGGACAAAGAAUGAUUGAUUACUUCUACACAAUAAUAAUAAGGAAAAAAGCUUGUGUCAGCUGUCUUCUCUGAGCAGCGGUCUUGUGAUCACCGGUCUCAGUAUAAUAAAGGUGUCUGAUGCUGAUGCAGUCUGGGCACUAGUAUCUGUUGGCUUGCUGACUAUCACUGACGAUGAAGUACUUCUCCAAAUCUUGACCCAGUGUCUUCUGCCAUCAUUGUUCAGGGUAGUACUGCAAAGAAUAGUCUCCAGGGUCUGCCUCCAACAUUUGCUUCCCGACCACCAUGUGCUACGUUUGCAUCACUGCUACAUGUGGGUUACCCUGAUACUGUGAAGAGCGCCUACAAUAUGAUGCUUGACUUGGGACAGAAAAAAAAACAUUGGCAACUUGUGUGGCCAACUCAUUGCCGUAUUUAAAAUCAUUGUACUGCUACCUCCAUUGUUUAACAUAACUAAAAGCAGAUUGUUUUUGCUUUGUUUCAAAAUUUUUGUAAUACGAGUUAAAACUACAUUGAAAAAAAUAUAUCAUCUUUAACUUUGAACUGUCACUACAUUUGAUUUAGGGUAAUGUGUGUGAAGAAUAGAACAUUAAAGGCAAUUGGUCAACUAGAUUUCUGUUCAAGUAAAUACAACUUAGAAAUUCCAAGUUGCAGGAAAUGUUUCUUGAUUUAGCUAAAUUUAAAUUAGUUGUUUGAAAUACGUACAUAGUAUAAUGUACUUAAUUUAGUUGUUGAAAAUAGUAAUUCUGAGUUACACGUUUACAACACUUAUAAAUAAACCUUUGUUAGUACAAAUUACUAUUCUUAUUUCACUUGUUUUUUUCAAGGCAAUCGGUUUGCAUGCUUUUUUUUAAAUAAGGUUUACUCAUUAUAAUUUACAGUGCAGACAACCUCCCUGCUCAGUGCACACUAGUGAGAUAAAAUCAAAACACUGUAAUUGUAAUAAAGUACUGUUACUAUACUGUA